UACGUAGGGUGCGAGCGUUAAUCGGAAUUACUGGGCGUAAAGCGUGCGUAGGCGGUUCGCUGUGUCCGAUGUGAAAGCCCCGGGCUUAACCUGGGAAUGGCAUUGGAAACUGGCGGGCUUGAGUGCGGCAGAGGGGGGUGGAAUUCCGCGUGUAGCAGUGAAAUGCGUAGAGAUGCGGAGGAACACCGAUGGCGAAGGCAGCCCCCUGGGAUAACACUGACGCUCAUGCACGAAAGCGUGGGGAGCAAACAGG
rnacentral:rRNA from 1 species